rnacentral:lncRNA from 1 species
CUUCCAAAACUAAUGAGAAAGAACAGUUUUAGGACAGGGAAACAGUCUUGGAAAUACGUGUUUGGGCGUGAGAUGAAGACGCACCUGCUAAAAUCGGUUUCCUAUUGAACAUACUUCUUUCAUUAAAUUUUAUAGUUUGAUUACAUUUUAGGAUAUCUGAGGAGUCAAUAGAAACGUAUUUUGACUUGUUGAAACAAAGUUUAGGGGUAGAUUUUCGGAUUCCAAUCUCUACAUGUUGAACGAGUGGAUUACUCAAAUCGAUGGCGCCAACUAAACUGACUUUUUGGGAUAUAAAGAAGGAUUUUAUCUAACAAAAUGACACUACCUGUUAAAGCUGGGACCCUUUGGAUGAAUAAUCAGAGGAAGAUUUUCAAAAAGACCAUGCCCCAGGACUACCUGGCCUGAUGACUCCUUGCUGUCCCCAGUUCACCUGGCCGUGCUGCUGCUCCAGUUCCAACUGUUCUGCCUGCGGCUAUGGAACCCUGACCUGUUCACCGGACGUUCUACCUGUCCCAGACCUGUUGUUCCAGACCUGCUGGAACCCUGACCUGUUCACCGGACGUGCUACCUGUCCCAGACCUGCUGUUUUCAACUCUCUAGAGACAGCAGGAGCGGAAGAGAUACUCUCAAAGAUCGGCUAUGAAAAAGCCAACUGACACUUACUAUUGUGUUACUGACUUGUUACACCCUCGACAACUACUAUGGUUAUUAUUAUUUGACCAUGCUGGUCAUUUAUGAACAUUUGAACAUCUUGGCCAUGUGCUGUUAUAAUCUACACCCGGCACAGCCAGAAGAGGACUGGCCACCCCUCAUAGCCUGGUUCCUCUCUAGGUUUCUUCCUAGGUUUUGGCCUUUCUAGAGAGUUUUUCCUAGCCACCGUGCU